AAAAACAAAGAAGGGUUACAAUGCGUAUUAUUUUAGACUUCAUAGGAUUAAUCUCAAUAUGUUGGAGGUGAAGGAUAAAAUUGUAAAAAUGGAUGAGUUCGAAGUGUUUUU
rnacentral:sRNA from 1 species